CCUAUUGCAUUGACUCAGACUCAGCUCAGCCAUUGUUUGGAUUGUGUUUUCAUUGCAAUACGGUAAAUAAAGGAACAAAUUCUGUCUGCGUGGUCUCCUUCGGACGCUUGAUUCCAGAGUGCUGAUUGGUGUUUUCAAAAGCAAAACAUUAUCCAGGAAGGGGAGACCAGUCUUAAGAAGUGUGCCCAUUCCAGCAGGAAUGGCUGUUCCUUCUUCCGUUUUCCAGGAAAUGCAAGGACCAAGACUCUCUGGCUAAAACGGAUCAGGAACAUUGGAACCCCCCACCCUGGACUGAUGUACACAGGAUUUUUCAGGUUACGUGUUGUAUUAAUUCAAUCAGCAGUUCUUUUUUCUUAAAUAUAAUUCACCACCCCAUGUCUAGAACAUUUCACACAAUAUGAGAGCUGUGUGGUGGUUCCUAGUGCAUAAUGAUGUGUGAUUUUUUAUUACAGUAUUUCAUGCAUAUUAUUAAACCAUCAAGUGUGGUUUGACCAAUUUUUAAUCAAGGUUUGUUUUCUAUAUUCUCAUAUCCUCAGCACCAUCGUACCUUCUUCCAGUGUCCUGCUUGCAAAUCAGCUCCUUGGAUUUGUACACCAUUUCAAAUAAAUUAAGUUUACUGUAAUGAUCUCCAGCUGUCUUUCUUUAAAUAAUAAUAAAAAUGUAUGUAGAAAAAGAAACAGACUUUUAACAGAGCACACAUGUAUUUAUUACCAAUGCGCAAAAUAACAAGUAAUUUACAUUGCAUAACUAUUUUCAAAUGAAUAGGAUACAUUACAGCAUUGGUUCUCAAACUGGGGUCCGCAGCGUGUUGCCAUCAUACUUAAGAUGAGUGUAGAGCCCAAACUGGGGUCCGCAGCAUGUUGCCAUCAUACUUAAGAUGAGUGUAGAGCCCAAACUGGGGUCCGCAGCAUGUUGCCAUCAUACUUAAGAUGAGUGUAGAGCCCAAACUGAGGUCCGCAGCAUGUUGCCAUCAUACUUAAGAUGAGUGUAGAACGCAUUGUGCUCAUGUGCUCACACACACAUAAGGCUCUACAAACAUGAUAUAACACAGCGUUAAUGAAUAGUUGCCUAUGGCAUACUCAAAGAAACACGAAUAAAGAUCUGAUUGAACUAGGAUCUUUGCUGUUUAUUUAAAAGAGAGAACAAAAACAGUAAACAACACAGACAAGUACCACAUAGGACAAACAACAGUGACACUGAUAAACAAUAUAAAUGACCAGUAAUGUUUUUUCCCAUUUUGUUUUGUAGACUAGCUGACAGGGAGCCAAAUACCAACGACAGGGUGUGUGGUUGCCAUUUUCCAGAUGGAAGGGAUGAUGGCCCAAGUGUCUUCCAGUGGUCAAAGGCUACUACCCCCAGCCAGCCGACCCAGUCAUCCCCUGAAGACCAUACCUACAGUAUUGCAAGGUGGUAGUGGAUCCUGACCAGGGACUCACUGAAGGAGUAAUGGAGUCAGAGGACGGUGUGGCCCAAGACUCGAUGAUGGAAGUCGAGAUGGAACUGGAUCCUGACGAGAUUGUGGCCCAAAACUCCAAGCCAGUCCCAUCUACCUAUCUACCAUCCAGCAGGCCUUUCGAAUGAGGUCAUCCGAAUGGAGACAGGCCUACCUGACAAGGCCAUGUUUCAAAGGGUGGUGGGGCUGGUGGAGAGAUUUGAGGGUUCCAUCGUUUAUGCAGCAGGUUGGACGGGGGAAAGUAUUACACAUAGAGUGCCAGGUCUUCAUGGCACUGAUGAAGCUAUGCCAGAACUACACCAACCUGCACCUGGCACAGCUGUUCUGCUGCAGUGGUACCACAGUGGCGAAUGUGGUUAAGACACUGAUACAUCUGCUCCACCAGGUGCUUUUCGGGAAAAUGAUGGCAACUGUGCCCAGUCUGCAGAAGAACAGUGAGAGUAUGCCGGCUUCAUUUAUACCCUCAGCCAGCAACUGCAGAAUGAUUAUAGACUGCACAGACAUAAAGGUUGUCGCUCCCAAAGAGAUGGACAGGGCCAAGCUGAUGUACUCAGCGUACAGGGGGAUGCACUCUUGCAAAGUGUUGAUCGGCGUUGCCCCUAAUGGCGUGAUUACAUACUGUAGUCCACUGUUUCUGGGAUCUACCUCAGAUAAGGCCAUUACAGCCCAGUGUGGCCUACUGGAGCACCUGGAGGCAGGUGACAUGAUCAUGGCAGACAAAGGCUUUUUAAUAUCUGACCUCUUGCCAGAAGGUGUCUCUGUCAAUAUCCCGCCUUUUCUUAACAGGGGAAAAUUCUCUGAGAGCGAGGUGAGGGCAACCCGGGAAGUGGCGAGGAACCGAAUUCAUGUGGAAAGGGCCAACGCACGGAUAAAGGAUUUCCGAAUCCUUAAUAAGAUCCCCACCCACCUACGAGGCUGUACCACUGUGCUGAUCCAGCUGUGCUGCUCCUUGGUGAACCUGCAACAUCCAUUAAUUAGAGAAACCAGCAGCUCUUUUUCUGCUUGCAAAAGCUCUCACACCCCCCCACCCCCUUUCCGUGAGGAUGGAGUGGUUUGAAUAAAUGGUUUGAAUAAAUCCAGGUGACACUUUGUACUAUAUGGGUCGCCAUGGCUUGGCCAGGAGGGUCAUCAUGUCUGGAGGAGAAGACUGCCAUCCUGGAGGAGGUCCAUGCGGGACACUUUGGGCGAGCCCGCAUGGAAGGGAAAAUACAGCGCUUUUAUUGGCUUAAUAGAAGUGAGGACGUCGACAAUUGGAUCAGCACCUGAAUGUCGUGCCAGCACUUCGAAAAAGUGAAGACCCAGGCUCCAGAACUGAAGCCCAUCAACGUUUGAUAUUCAGUAGAUAUUCGUAGAUAUUUUAACUUCCCCUUCAUUCGAGAUCGACAACGCAAUUCAGCUCAAUGGCGUGAUCAGGGUUAAAUAAAGUUGACAUUAUUACAGAGUAUCAAGCGAAAACAACUAAAUUAUUAUCGCUAGAGAUUGCUAUCCGACAUAAAGCUUUACAGCACUUCACC